GCCCCCUUGAGACCUGGGGUUGGUGUAGGUGCGUGGCUUCCUACGUCACUGACCACCGCAGGAACGUCUGAGUCACCUUUCAGGUUAGAAUUGAUUCCCAGUGACAUGAGGCUUUGCUUGAUGAGUCACAAAGCAGCCAUCAGCAUAGCUCUCAGUGGUCCUGGAUGUGCAGAGUCAGAAAUCCACCGCGGGAACAGCCUAGCUGACGGUCAGAGAGGGCUCCCGUGGGCUGGGCACCCUUCUGUGCACGCUGGGAAUGCAUUUAAGGAGGAAGCCAUUACUGUUCUGCUCUGUGCGCCAUGUUUAAGGACACGGAGCAUCAGGGGUGCUGCCUCAGUGGCCUGGGUCAGGCUUGGGGAGCCGAGAAGGCCUGCAGUGGGACUCGGGCUGACUGAUGGAGUGCAGGGCUGUAGGCAGCCGCUCAGGUACAUCAAGUGCAUGUCUCAAGGGGGCGGGGGGAGGCUGGAGUGACAGCUCCUGGGUCGAUUUUGACUUUGCCAUAUGCUGUAUAAUAUGAUUUUAAACCAAAUGAAAGAGAGAAUGAGUUUCCUGAGGAAAUUUGAACUUGAUGCUUUCUCCUCAUUUAUUGUUAGCAGAUUCUAAUUUUCCCUUUAUCCUCUAUCAGUGUAAAAUCAAUCAUUUUAAUGCACAUAAUAAUCAACAUAUAAUAAAUCUGCUUAUAUUUUCUGAAUCACUAACAGGGACAUGCGAGAAAUAACAGAUAAGGUUAUUAUGGCAAAUAAAUAAGAUUGGUGACUCCUGAAAUCCCAUAAGAAUUAGUGUAUGAAGCAUUGAUGUACCAUCUAAUCAAUGAAUCAGGUUUUCAGAUGAGUGUCCACUAGUCAGGUCCUUUUAGUACCCUCAUAUCUUUUAUAGAAGCUCUGUUCAUUUCCUCACUGUUGUAGGGUCCACAGGAGCGCCUUUCUUUGAGCUGAGUUACUACAGAUCACUUUUACCCAUGAAUUGCCCCUAACAUGGCACUUUCUCCUGUCCUCAUCAUGACAGUGGUAGAGAGUGACCAGCCACAGAGUCCUGGUCACUGCAGCCUACUGGGACCAGGAGCGUGACCGGGGCUGUGGGGUCCAGGAUGCCCAGCGUCUCCAUCUCACGGUGCUGCCCCAUCUCCCAGGAUGACAGACGGACGUGUCUUUGGUGUUAGCAGGAGAGAGAAGGCUGAAUAUGUGUGCAAAGAGCUGAAGAAUCAUUGUGAGAGGAAAUAUUUCAAACUAGCAUGAUGUAAAGUGGGCUUCAGAUUCAAGAAUGAUUUCCUCAUGAAAUAUUUCUAAUAAUAGAUACAAAAGACCUAAUUUUUGACAAAUGUCAACAUUUUUCUAAUUGAGAUUUCAAAUUUUGAAAGAAAAAAUGUAGGUAGCUGAAGUCCUCUUUGAAGCCUUUCCUCAACUCUUUCCCUCUCUGACGGCAGCUCCUGUCCGAGGGUUGGUGUGCGUGCCACCGUGUUCCUGACAUCUCCCAUACAUGUGUGCACACGCACACAGGUAUACACGUAUGUACGUGGACAUGCGUGUCUAUGUUGAACCCACAAUUGCACUUGAGUCCUCGGAGCCCGUCUGGGAGCCCAGUGUGGUGGAGCUCUCCAUCAGUGAGUCAAAGCGGUAUGUUCCGCUCACGGAGAGGGGCAGGUGGACACUCCAGCGCAACGCGAGGUCUGCCUAGACGGCUCUCAGCACACGCUCUUCCUUCCUUUCCUUCCACAGACAGAACACUCUCACUUUGCUGCCCAAGAAAGACCUCUCAGAAGCCAUUCCCAGCUCCAGCUUUAAGGUCAAAGUCCACAUGGAGGCUAAAGGUGGCUCUUUGCAGAGGAGCACUCUAGAGCUGAGAGAAGAGCAGGACCUGACCCAGGCAGGGGUGGAGCCAGGCCAACGGCGCCCUCAGCACCCUCCUCUGGACGGCAGGCAGGCGCAGGAGGGGCACAGAGCCGCGCUGCUUGCGUGGCCGCGCUGGAGUCCAGGGGUGAAGCCGCUCCACCUCUGCACUCGGCUCCCCUCCCCACCGUGGCUAGCUCCUUGCCACCUAUGCCUCUAGAGACCCUGUUGCUCCCUGCGGCCAUUCUGAGGAGCUCAGGAGGUCAGCCGAGGGCCUCCCCACCUUGUCUUCAGCUGAAGUGCAUCUUUGGCCCCCUGGCCGUCAGGUGCCCGGAGCCUGGGGCCUGCUGCUCUGGAACCUGAUGUUUCUACAGCUGAGUUGCAAUCUUUGGUGGGUUUGGGAUUUGGGGUUUCUAUUUCUUCCUGGUAAUUCAUGUUUUCUAGGAAAUUAAUCACUUCAUGUAAGUUUUCUGUGCAUUGGCAUAAAGAUGUCACAGUGUCAUCUCCAUGUGAAGGCUCUCUGUCUUUACUGUGGCUUCAUUUUCACUCUGUGCUUUCGUUGGGAUCUGGAAUGACUCCUGCAGGCCUGGUGUUAAGGCCCUGGGUGUUAUUCAGGCUUGGUGCUCAGCUUGGUGCUGCUGGAAGGGGAGGAGCCUUUAAGGGGUGAGGCCAAGGGGAGGUUUGGGAAGGAGGGACCUGGGUCUCUUCCCCUCUCUCUCUGCUCCCAGCCACGCAGAGAGCAGCCUCUCCGCCCAGACUCCUGCUGCCCUGCACUGUGCACCACAGGCCCCAAGCAGGGCUGUCAGUCACCGCCGACAGCUCCAGAACUGAGUCAGUCACCUUUCCUCUUCCUCAGCUGAUGGCCUCAGGUGUCUGUUGUAGUAACAGCUGACCAACUGCCCUCACCACUUGGGUUUGUUACCUGUGUCCCCCCUCUCUCUCUCUCUCUCUCUCUGUCAUUUUUUUUUUGGUUGUUUCUGCUACUCGUUUUACUCUUUUAUUAAUGUUUUCAAAGAAGUCUUGAGUUUGGUCUGGCCUCUCUAUUGUAGGUAUUUUUCUAUUUUAUGAACCUGUUCUUUCCUAGGCAGCUCCAUUACUUUGAUCUUGAUCUUGGGCUCUCUGUCUGAACUUUUGAGUUGAUCACUUGCCUUCUUCUUCUUCUUCUUUUUUACUUUUCUUCCUUUAUAACAUGUGCAAUGAUAAUUACAUAUUUCCCUGGGAAAAUAUUUAUUAUCGAACCACACAAGUCAUAUGAUAUACUAGGGAUUCUUUUGUUGUCUUUCAACUCUAAAUGUUUUAUAUUUUUCAGUGUGUCAUACACUGCACCUGUCCUGUAUUGAAAAGUAUAUUUAGUUACAACUGGUAAUUACUUGGUGUUCUCUAUUUAUACCUGACUCCAUGGUGUGUCUUGUGAGAGAACUAUUCUUAGGAUACUGAUUCCUGGUAUUUGUUGGGCUGGGCUUCCUGUCCUUGCAUGUAGUCAAUUGCCAUAAAUAACGCACAUGUUUAAAAGAGCCAAUGUUCUCUCCCGAGGGCAGAAUUGUGUCUAUAUUCAUUCAUUAAAUUUCUUAGAAUCUAAUACUUUUCCUCCUUGCUCUCUAUGUUCUCAGGAAAGUUUGUCCAACUCCUUCACUAGGUUUGUAGGUGGGUCACAUUAUCAUGGUAAUUCUGUCAGUCUUUGUGCUUUGCAUUUAAACAUGUGUCUGGGUUCAUCAUGGUUCACUGAUGAGGAAUAAGGGGCCCUUCAGCUCUAGGGUCCUGUUGUGCACCACAAAGCCACACAACCCUCACACCAGCGUCACCAUCCCUGUGCCAGGAGCUGGGCGUGACCUGGCCAGGCCCCCGCUGGGGCUUCAGUGGUCUCGGUAGAGGGUUAGCCAGGCUGUGCUCACCUGCAGGCUCACCUGGGAACCUGCUUUCUAGUCCACUCAGGUUGGAACUCCUGUCUUUGUGGUUGGAGGUGCGAGGACCUGAGAGGCCUCCUGGCUGCUGUUGGAGGGUGGCCUGCAGUUCUAGAGGCUUCUGGCUGCUGCUGACCACGUGGUCUUCCCAGCAUGGCUGGUUCCAGGAGUCCAUUAGCAGGACAGUCUUCCUGACACUACAUAAGCACAAAGCAGUGCCCCGCCUCUGCCCUGUUCUGAUCCUUGGAACAACCCAGGGCCUGGCUGGUGCUGGGGAAGGGGAUCUGCACCGAGUGUGAGUUCCAGGAGGUGGAGAUAUGGGGGUCUGCUGGCAUCUGUCCACCCAACCCCAGUGGGCUUUUCUGCCUUGACACCAGUCGUGUUUAAUAUGAGCAAACCGAGUUAUUUAGAUUCGUAGUUGCCUAGUAGAACUUUUCUUAUGCUUUUUAUGUUUCAUUGCUCCCCCUACAUUUCAAUUCCGGUGGGUCUUUCUUGUUCUAUCUUUAUUUUUCCUUUGUGAAUUUCCAUUCUUUGUAUUUUAUUUCCCCUUUCCUGCAUAUAUGAGAUCAUUAAAUCUCUUCCCACUACUGAUUUUGAAGUUAUUUACUUUUUUAGUUCUUAGGAGCUACUCUUAAAUUCUUUAUCAUCCCUGCACUCAUCUAAAUAAAGGCUGGGGGCUGAAGAUACAGCUCAGUGGUGGAGCUUAGCACCCGUAAGGGCCCCAUGUUCAAUCCCAGCACCACAAAAAAAUAAAAGGAAAGAUACCUUGCUGUUUAACAUAAGUGCAGCUAAAAUCAGUGACUAUCUGUGUUCCCCUCCUGAAUAAUCCCAAAGCAGAGCGACCUUUGACCCUACCUUGGGCCCUGUGGCCCCCUGUCCCUGGACCAUGGCUGAGCAGCACUUGAGCGGAGCUUUCCAUUGCUCCCCCCCUGUGGUCACCACAGCCGCUUUGCCCCAUGGGGACACCCCUCUGUGCUUCUCAGGUCACUGCUGCUUCUUCAUGUCACCUCUGGGCUUCGAUCCCAUUUUAUCAAGAGGUGAGUUCUUCCUUUCCUGUGGUGAUGCUUACAGUUUGACUUAGAACGUGUCUGCCAUUGUUCUUGGUCGGCAGUGUAGCUCAGCAGACUGCAGCUGCUGCCGUCUCCCUUGGCACCCUAAAGACAACCCGUCGUGUUCGGAGAUCUGCUCCUGUUGACAGCAGCUUGGUUGGAGGGUGGCUGUCGUUCUUUGUCAGCAGUGGGGCUCCUGUAGGUAAAAUGGUUUUCUCUAGAAUUUGUUUCAAAUUUUUCCCUAUUUUGUUGGUGUUUUUCCUUCAAGGGCUGGUUAUCAGGUGACCUGCUCUUGUUUUGGAUGUCUCUUCCAGGGCUGGGGCCUAUAUUCUCUAUUUAAAUCCUCCGGAGUGUUUCCUUUUCUUUCCUGGAGUUUGGCUAUACAUUUGCAAAAUGAAGCCUGGCUAGGGGGUUCUUUGUCUCACAAAUUCCAAGAAUGAGAUUCACAGAUAGCAGUGGGUGAAUGCAAAGUGGAAGAAUUUAUUAAAAAAGCAAAGUUCCUACCUCAAGGAGGGAAGCCAGAGGAUUCUCAGUGGAGGGCUGCUGUUGAGGGGUCGCUGCGUGGAUCUGUAGGUCUAAGGAAGUCAGCCCUGGCCCAGAGCUGGCAGAGGCACUCAGUCACGUAUUGAUCAGGCAUUGUCCCGGGACCCAUUUCCCUAUGUGUCUGGCCUUUCUCUUCCUCCUGACCACAUUCCCCAUGAAGAGGUAAUCCUAACUGCUGUUAUGGAAUCUUACUAACCACCUGUGGCUUCUAUUGGAAGCAUCAGGGACAUUUCUCUCUCCACUGACUGUCCUCUGUGCAGAAUGUGCACUCACUGGCUUUCUGUUCUUUAGGGUCCUCACGAUCCCCCUGACCAGGAGGUCAGAUGACUUACCAGAGUCUUAGAGCCUUAGAGGGGUCUCAUCACUCCCUGGGUCCUGGCUGACCUUAGAGGGCAAGGGCCAAUAUAUUGGCUGAUUUUUACUUAAUGCUUUUACUUUCUUGGCUUUGAUCUUCAAGUUUUGGUUUUAAACACCCACAAGCCAGUUUCACCAGUCUUGAAGUGGGAGUAAUGGGUUUUAACUUAGAAGUUUAUAAUUUAUCCCUUUCAUCUAAUUAGGUUAGUACUAGUACUGGACAUCAGCAUUGUGUCCUAUCUGUUUUGAGAGCUAAUUGUCUUAAGUUAACUCAGCUUGUUCUGACAGAAGCAGUACUUCUGCAGAACACUAACAGGCAACAGUUCACAAAGUGAAAAUAACAAGAGCAAAAACUUAGUUCAGGUACUAGCUUCGAACCAAGAAGCAUAAUCUCUAUAAUAUCACUAAUAUGUCUUUGGUAUGUAUUUAACCUCUACAAAGGCCCAAGCAAUUUUUUUAACUUAAUCACACAUGAAUUCUUUUUAUGAAUUUUAAAAACAGUGUUAGUAAUCAGAAACAGAAACAGGUCUAAGUCAGGUUUUUAAAUGGCAGAGUGCCCCAUUUAUGCCAGAUACCAAGUCUAGAGGAGAGCACUUACUGGUUGUCUUGCCUACACCAAACACACAUCACUUUCAUGGUAGAAACUUUUUAAUAUAUAUAGUCAUGUACAUUUAGGGUGUCAAUUUUAUACCAACAACCUAAAAUAACAGUUGUUUGCUUAACUAGACUUAUACUCAAUUUCCCUAAGCAAUAAAAUCUAAUACCUAUAAGAAAUUAUCUUGAUAGAUAAGAACAGAUUAAUGUUCCAAGAAAUCCUUGUUGCUUUAACAGAACUAGAUGUUGGCUUUUAUAUCAGCACAUCAAUAUUCGACCUUAGGGAAAAACCUUAAAUAACUUUAACUGUGAACAUAGCUAAAACCUUUUGUACUCCUUGCAUAUGGAAUUACAUCUGUUAAUUAAAAUCUUAACUCUUAUAACCUUGCUUUAAGUGAAGACCUGGAAACAAGCUAAUCUCCAUCUGUUUUUCUUUUACAAAUAAUUUAUAAAAACAUUUUUAAUGGGCAAAGAAACUAAACAGAACUUCUCAAAAGAGGAAUACAAACGGCCAACAAAUAUAUGAAAAAAUGUUCAACUUCUCAAGAAAUUAGGGAAAUACAAAUUAAAACUACAGAGAUUUCAUCUCACUCCAGUCAGAAUGGCAGUUAUCAAGAAUACAAAUAAUAAUAAAUGUUGGUAAGGACGGGGGGCUGGGGAAAGAUACUCUCAUACACUGUUGGUUGGACUACAAAUUGGUUCAACCACACUGGAAAUAAGUAUGUAGAUUCCUCAAAAUACCAGGAAUGGAACCCCCAUAUGACCCAGCUAUCCCACUCCUUGAUAUAUAUUCAAAGGAUUUAAAACAGCAGCCACAUCAAUGUUUACAACAGCACAACUCACAGUAGCCAAGCUAUGGAGCCAACCUAGGUGCCCUUCAACAGAUGAAUGGGUAAAGAAAAUGUGGUGUAUACUCAUGAUGGAGUAUUACUCAGUCUUAAAGAAGAAUGACAUCAUGGCAUUUACUGGUAAAUGGAUGGAGCUGGAGACUAUCAUGCUAAGUGAAAUAAGCCAGUUCCCUAAAAGUCAAAGGUAGAACGUUUUUUCUGAUAUAUG
rnacentral:lncRNA from 1 species